rnacentral:rRNA from 1 species
AUACGGAGGGUGCAAGCGUUAAUCGGAAUUACUGGGCGUAAAGCGCGCGUAGGCGGCACACACAGUCAGAGGUGAAAGGCCUGGGCUCAACCCAGGAACUGCCUUUGAUACUGGUGAGCUAGAGUCCGGGAGAGGGUGGCGGAAUUCCCAGUGUAGAGGUGAAAUUCGUAGAUAUUGGGAAGAACACCAGUGGCGAAGGCGGCCACCUGGCCCGGUACUGACGCUGAGGUGCGAAAGCGUGGGGAGCAAACAGGAUUAGAAACCCCAGUAGUCC